rnacentral:rRNA from 1 species
GACGAACGCUGGCGGCGUGCUUAACACAUGCAAGUCGAACGGAAAGGCCCUGCUUUUGUGGGGUGCUCGAGUGGCGAACGGGUGAGUAACACGUGAGUAACCUGCCCUUGUCUUUGGGAUAACUUCAGGAAACUGGGGCUAAUACCGGAUAGGAGCUCCUGCUGCAUGGUGGGGGUUGGAAAGAUUCGGCGGUUGGGGAUGGACUCGCGGCUUAUCAGCUUGUUGGUGGGGUAGUGGCUUACCAGGGCUUUGACGGGUAGCCGGCCUGAGAGGGUGACCGGCCACAUUGGGACUGAGAUACGGACCAGACGCCUACGGGAGGCAGCAGUGGGGAAUAUUGCACAAUGGGCGGAAGCCUGAUGCAGCAACGCCGCGUGCGGGAUGACGGCCUUCGGGUUGUAAACCGCUUUCGCCGGUGACGAAGCGUGAGUGACGGUAAUGGGUAAAGAAGCACCGGCUAACUACGUG